rnacentral:misc_RNA from 1 species
GCAAACUUGGUCAUUUAGAGGAAGUAAAAGUCGUAACAAGGUUUCCGUAGGGUAAGUUACUGCUAUUAACUUGUUAAAUUUCUAUGUGCUAACUUAAAUUUUAGUGAACCUGCGGAAGGAUCAUUACCGAGUGUAACCCCCCGAUAAAAAGGGGGGUACCUCCCGUCCUUUGCUGGGUCCCCUUUGGGGACUUUCGACUUCUGCUUCGGCGGGGUUACCCGCCGGAACACCCUAAAAAAUCUUUUGUUAAACUGUUCAGUCCGAGGGCUUUUUUAAAUUUAUGAAAAACUUUCAACAACGGAUCUCUUGGUUCUGGCAUCGAUGAAGAACGCAGC